AAAGUCGUAACAAGGUCUCCGUAGGUGAACCUGCGGAGGGAUCAUCAAAGGAUAAACAUUUUAAAGAGUGUCUUUUGAGGGGAGAGAGAAGAAUUCUUUUCUCUCUUUCUCAAAAACACUUUUUCAAACAAACGAUCACAACCAGAGAAAAUGAUUUGUGUGAGAUAUUAUAAGUGCUUGCCUGAUAGUGAAAUUGAUUUUUGGGAAAAACAUACAACUUUCAACAACGGAUCUCUUGGCUCUC
rnacentral:misc_RNA from 1 species